rnacentral:rRNA from 1 species
AUUGAACGCUGGCGGCAGGCCUAACACAUGCAAGUCGAGCGGAGCGGCGGACGGGUGAGUAAUGCCUAGGAGUAUGCCUGGUAGUGGGGGAUAACGUCCGGAAACGGGCGCUAAUACCGCAUACUAUCAGAUAAGCAUAGGUCGGAUUAGUUAGUUGGUGGGGUAAAGGCCUACCAAGGCGACGCUCCGUAACUGGUCUGAGAGGAUGAUCAUGCACACUGGAACGUAGACACGGGCCAGACCACUACGGUAGGCAGCAGUGGGGAAUAUUGGACAAUGGGCGAAAGCCUGAUCCAGCCAUGCCGAGGGUGUGAAGAAGGUCUUCGGAUUGUAAAGCACUUUAAGUUGGGAGGCGUUACCAACAGAAUAAGCACCGGCUAACUGCGUGACAGCCGCCGCGGUAAUUC